rnacentral:piRNA from 1 species
UAGCAGAAAAAGUACAGGGCUUAAGGAGC